rnacentral:lncRNA from 1 species
CCAAGGACCUUCACUUUCUCCAUCUGAGGUCCGUGUGGAGGGAAGCAGGAGCCUCGUCUUCAUGCUGAGAGCCCCGCACAGCACAACUCUUGCAGGUGUCCUCCUGGUUCUCAGGGCAGCUAAUCCUUUGAUUGCAAAAAGAGAGUUUCUGUGAAAUCUUGCAAGAAAAUUAAAACACUGCAAUUGUUCUGCAAAUGUCUUCAUGAAGAUCAUCAUUUCUUCCUUUUCUUCACAUCUUGGUCCCAAGCCUACAUGCAAGUGAAUUCCCUCAUGAAGGGAACCAAAAUCUUCUCACUAGGAUAUGCAAAUCCCAGCCUCCCUCCUCCUUGAUGGGACAGCACCCCCACCUCCGUCGAGUCGACCGGUCAGGAGACUGGCUCCAAGCCCAGCUUCCGUGGGUGUGUCCAGGUGAGGGCUAGGACUCAGGGGCACAGAGACCCUGGGGCGUCUUUGCUGCUGGCUCCACCGUUGUCUACCUCAAGCCUGGGUUAGGACACAGGGCUGCAGAAGCCCAUGUGGAGAGGCUUCCACCUCAGGAUCUACAAUGUUCUGAUCUCACCUUUAUAGAUAAUGCCAUUGGGUAGCUAUGCAUAGAAAACUAUGGGAGAAGGACGAAGCCUAUUUCACGCAGGCCUGGAGCUAAGUGUUAGCACACACCUCUCACAGAAGUCUGGGGCAGAAUCCAACUCCCUGAUCCAUAUGGGAUGGGAGCUGAGUGUGGACAAUGACCUGACACGCGGCAGGCCUUCCCUCACCAGGCCCUGAAUGUUAGAUGGCUGGGCUCUGCUGGGUUCAGCUGGCAGCUCCCUCCCUAGGACACUGUGCUCUCAAGGGCACUCCUGAAGCCUGGCACAAUGGUGACACUUCUGCAAGUCUGAUGUAAGUAACCUGAGUUCAGCUCCCCGGACCUGAGUGGUCCUUUAUAAGCCUACUGUAUGUGCUAAAUGGCUCAAAGCAGACGGCUUUCGAUUGUCCCCAGUAUUAGAACAAGGGAGAUUCAUUCUAUAGAGAGCGUAUAAGUCACCAGCCUCCCUGUCCUCCCUCACUCGCUCCCUUCUUCAUCCUCGCAUCUGCAGCCGAAAGAUGUGCAGUGCUUUUCAUUGUGCUGGUGGGUAGAUUGCUCCUUGGUCAGCAUGGGGUGGAUGUUCUGAAACGACGACAUCACAUUUCCUAAAGGAGCAGAAGGCGGGCAUGGGGUGGGCGCUUGUGAUGCCAGCCUGGGCUACACAGUGAGUUCAAGGCCAGCCUGAACUACACGGAGAAACCCUGGCUCAAAAAGAAGAAGAAGGCGAAGAAGGAAAAGGAGAGGGAGAGGGACACAGCGAGGGAGAAAGGGAAGGGGAAGGGGAAGGGGAAGAAGGAAUAGGAGCUGGAGGAGGAGGAGGAGGAGGAGGAGGAGGAGGAGGGGAAGGGGACCCUAGGUCACCCCACGGGUCGGCCGCAUUGUAAAAUGCUGCCCGUGUCCACUGCAGCAAGGGAACAGUGGAUAGGGAAAGUGACGGUCAGAGUCCGGUGGUGCUGGGCUGGGGUCUAGCUCAGUGGUACCGCGCCUGCCUCCCAAAUGCAAGGUCCUGAGUUUGGCCCCUGGUACUGAAAAAAGAGUCCGUGGUGUUUCUCCAAGUUUGCGAAGCUCACCAGGAAGCUGUGUCCCUGGAAAGGACCGGCAGGGGGUGCCGGGCGCAGCUUUGUCUUCGUCUCCUCCCUCCGCUCCCUCUCUGUCUUUUCCCUCACAGCCUGCAUCUCACUCCGUGGCUGCUCCCGCAUCUGAUCCUCUGGCUCAUCCUCUUGUUCCUCUCAUUUGUCAAGUCUUUGCCUUUCUGCUUCCUCAGUUUCCUUUCCAGAUUUUUUUUAAGCUCUUGCCCCGUCUGCCCGUCUCCAAGGGCUUCUGUUUGUGUCUUUCCCUCGAUCACUACUUAAGUUGUUUUAGCCUCUGUCAUAGUUCGAAUGCGUCAUCCAAACUUCAGUUGUUAGAAAUCUAGUCCUCAAAUUUGUGCACUGAUGGUAUUUGAAGGUGGAGCCUCUGGGAGGUCACUAGGGUUCGACAAGAUCACCAGGGCGGGGUCCCUGGGGUGGCACUAGGAAGAAGAAAAGGAAACACUCAAUAAUUUUCUCUUUGUUAUUUUUGGGUUUUAUCCCUUCCUUUU